UUAUAUAUUAUAUAAAUAUUCUACAAAUAUACUAACAAUAAACUAGGAAAUAUUUCUAAUCGAUACUAGAAAUAUUAUUAAAAUAUUAUUUAGAUAUACCUACAAUAUAAUACGAAAUAUUCUCAGUAUAUACUGAGUAGACUGCGGAAGCGGACAUAGAAACAUUCUCAGUAUAUUCUCAAAAUAUUACAGUACGUAUUUCGGAUAUUCAUGGAAUAAUCGCAAUUUACGUUUGCGAUAUACUGAGAAUCUGCUUAGAAUCUACCUGUGCUGUAUGGAUGUCUUCAAUGCAUGCUGAGUGUGCUGUUGUGUUGUUUCGACAUUUCUAUGACGCUGUUUCCUUCUUCAGCUUUUAUAUGUGAAAUUAACAGUGAACCUUGAAUAAGAAUAUCCUGACUACACUUUACAUAACAAUUUCACAAGCCACAAAGAAAAAAAGACAAGAAGGAUAAGGUGUCCCGUUCAACAUUAUGAUUUGCCACAAGAUAUUUUUUUACCAUCUAGAAGAAAUGGCGAUAACAGGCGUUGAACAGCGAGGAACAAACGAACUAAGUGGAUUAAAUUACUCACGUUGAACUCAGUGAUGUAAACACGGUGAAGGAGAGCUUGUGGCGCUAUUCACUUUACUAGGACCAUUCAUCCGUUAGCAAUUUUCAAUCAUACUCUGAACACUGAUCCGUGACUGCAUGUAAAGUCUCAAAGUUUAAUGCCAGGCACGAACUCCAACACAACGUACAGCAGAUCAUUUCGUAUACAGGCGACCAAUCCACAUCC